AGAAAAUAUCUGACUCCCGCACAAGACUAUCCCUCACCGGCACCCACCCUCGUUUUCUCUAACCCUAGCCAUCUUUCCAACGCCGCCACCCACCCCUCGUCUUCUCCUCCGUUUCCCCCAACCGCCGCCAUCGCCACUGCCCACCAAAAACUUACUCCUCUCUUUCCUUCCAUCUCGUCAGAUCCCGAUUUCCCGAUCCUCCCUUCUCUCUCCGAUUCCGCAUAGAUCUGACCCUCCCAGAGCCAGAUCCCCACCUUCUCCGUGACCCAAUAUACCGUGAACAAUGUCCUCGGCCGCGGCGGUAGCGCCAGUGUGCCCUAUAUGCCGACAUGGCCAGCCUCGGCGGCGGCGCGCGACCUGGGAUGAACCACUUCACGUCACCGGAAGAUCUGCCCUCCUGGUCGUCGGAUCUUGUCAUAGGCCAAACCAGUCUGGGUCGGAUGUGGAGAUCAAGGUGACGGAAGCCUUCGUCAUUGAUGAUUUCUAGCAAGCGGUCGAGGUCUACGUCGACUGCAGCAGCGCCAUCUUCGAUGUUGAGCGCGCGCACGAGUCUAUCAGCGGCGCUCGCAAGAGCGGUGAUGCACUCAUCUCCUCCGAGGAGUUCAUGGUCAUGGUGGCCUUAGGUGGCGCCUGCUUCGCCGACAUCGCGUGCGCCAGAUCUGAGGUACACACGAUGUAACAUAGUUCACGGCGGAUCUGGUCACGGGGUCGCCGUACCACGACUUCACCAGGCCAGCUCGCCAUCACCAACCUCCCCGUGUGGUAGCCCGUGCUUUUUAGCAGGUAUCCACAUCUGUGAAGAAGAGGAAGGGGUACAAUCAGUCACCUCCUGAUCUGGAGGAGGACGUGAUGUUGCUGAUGAGUUUGAGGGCAAGUGAGAAGGUUGCUAGCGAUGAGGAUGUGAAGGAGUAGACCUGAUGCUUACCUGUGUGAUGGAGCACAUCAAACACGGCCACGGCACCGCGUUUGCAGUAUAUUUAAAAAGGGUUAAUGAAACACCUUGGCCUUGUUAUUCUCAAAGAUGCCACUGGCAACAUACUUGGCCACAGGAGCAGUACAAGAACAGGAAGAUUCAGUGCUACUGCUACUGAACUACACAGCCAGGUGGUUGUAGGUAGCCAUCUGCUGGGAAAUAAUGCUGGAGCGAGCGGUGCACACUGGAAGCAGUUGGCAGGUUGCCGUGAUCACAUCAACGAUUAUCUAGCUUGUUGCCUACAAGAAGUCCUGAUGAUGCAGCAGCUACAAGGCGGACCUGUAGGUUGGGAGAGGUCAUGCUAAUGCAGUUGACAGGCGUUUGAUAGCUAUGUUAUUAUUGCGUUUGAUAGCUAUGUUAUUAUUGUAUUUAUCUGACUAAAGCCGUGGAAAUAGUUUAACGGAUUUGGAUUUCUUGUAUUCUUCAGUUCUGAUUAAAUUACUUGUU